UUCCCCCUCUGUGAGUGGAAACCCCACAUCCCCCCCAAAGAAUUAGCUCAUUUUUUAGUAUUAUUAUUUGCUAUUGUUGUUGUUCUCCAAGAACUGUUCAAGACAUGGCAUUUGUCUAGCAUCCUUGAACACUUAUCUCCCUCAUCAGUUGUCACAGACUCUAAUGCAAAUGCAAACGGUGCUGGACAGACGUACCUGAGUGAAAGAGGAGCUUCCAUAGACACUGUUGGUGGUCCUGUAGCAGUAUUUGCGGUACUUGGUCCACGUGUCCUUAUCAAUCUACAAGCAUAUUCACAAACGCGGGAAAUGGGACUUAAAAAAUACUGGCUAUAUAUAUGAACACGACUUUUGAAAAAGUAAAGAGAAAAAAAGGACCGGGAGAGAGACCUUUGAUCUGAUCUGUCCUCUAAAUUCCAAUUAAUCGGCAACAAGAAUAAAUAUGCAUUGUUUAAGUUCAAUUUAUUUCUUUGUCCCAAAUGGGCAAUUUGAUUGCAGACAGGAUCACAUACCACACGACAAUAGACACAACACAAUACAAUACAGACAAAUAUGCACAAAAUAAUAAUUUAGUUGUGAUAAACAGGUCUGACAAUGCCUAAAAAGUCAGUUUUACUGACUAGCCACUCUUGAUGUCCACAAAGGGCCUGAAUCUGCGGGCGGACGCUGGUUGGUGUGGGCACACUAAAGAGGAAGAGAUGGCAUGACUCCGGAAAAGGGCACCAUCUUCCUGUUUAUGUAAGGAAGGAAACUAUUGCCCAGCAAAUGGCCCCUUUUGAGGAACCAAGAAAUCUUUUCCAAGAAAUCUAGUAUCAGUAAGGCCGACAGGCCACAUCUCUGCUCAACUACCGGUACUUCUUGACGAUUCAAACUUCCCUUUUCCCUCAUUAUAAUAAUUGGUAUCCUAUGUUGUGUGCUUACCUUAGGUGGCGGGGUGGCAUAGAAGGGCGGGUUGAGCUUCUUCUGCGGUUGGCAGCGGAACUGGU